rnacentral:miRNA from 12 species
CCGGACGAACUUCCCAGAUCGGCC